AUUGCAGGCUGCAACUCGCCUGUAUGAAGUCGGAAUUGCUAGUAAUCGCGGAUCAGCAUGCCGCGGUGAAUACGUUCCCGGCCUUGUACACACCGCCCGUCACACCAUGAGAGCCGGAACACCCGAAGUCCGUAGUCUAACCGCAAGGAGGACGCGGCCGAAGGUGGGUUUGGUAAUUGGGGUGAAGUCGUAACAAGGUAAC
rnacentral:rRNA from 1 species